GAGUUUGAUCGUGGCUCAGGACGAACGCUGGCGGCGUGCUUAACACAUGCAAGUCGUACGAGAAAGUUUCCUUCGGGAGAUGAGUAAAGUGGCGCACGGGUGAGUAACGCGUAAGUAAUCUGCCCUUUGGUCUGGCAUAACUCCGGGAAACCGGGCGUAAUAGCAGAUGAUAUCGUAAGAUCAAAGCCUUCGGGUGCCAAGGGAUGAGCUUGCGUCCCAUUAGCUAGUUGGCGGGGUAACAGCCCACCAAGGCGACGAUGGGUAGCUGGUCUGAGAGGGCGGACGGCCACACUGGGACGUGAGACACGGCCCAGACUCCUACGGGAGGCGAGCAGUGGGGAAGUUGUUCGCAAUGGGCGGCAAGCCUGGCGCAGCGACGCCGCGUGUGGGAUGACGGCC
rnacentral:rRNA from 1 species